rnacentral:lncRNA from 1 species
AAAGGCAUUUGCUAAGCAAUUUCAUGGAUAAGCCUAAUUUAUUUAAAAUUGGGAGCCAGGAUUAGUGGCAUAUUGCUGUAGGGGAGAGGCUGAGGCAGGAGGACCACAAGUUCAAGCCCAACCUGGGCUACAUAGUGAGACACUGUCUCAAAGAAAACAAAAUUCUGGAAUGUUAUUCCUUAGGCCCAAUUGAUAUGUUCCACCAUGAAUUCAAUCCAGCAGAAUCAGAUAUAGCAGUAGAAAAUGUCAAGUUCCUUCAUUCAGCUGGAGUAUGGCUUUUCAUAUUAUUCUACUCUCAGAGUCUGUUUUAAUUCCUUUGCAAAGUCCAGCUUUUCUUUUCUUUGGGUUGUAAAGUCUUUUCCCUUAGCUGCAAAGCUGCUCUUUGCUUCCUACUGAAGCCUCCAAUUGCUGAUGGAAAAGACUAGCCUGUUGGCUGGUUGACAUGGGGAUUUGGUCAAAUGCAGUAGCUCUGCACUGAAGGAUGAUGUGUCUGUGACCUGCCUCUUAAAGCUGAGAGUAAAUAUUGGGCCCCUGGCCAUUUCCAUUCGCAGUGGCUCACGCGGCGCUCUUCAUCCGGAAUGGUUCUGUCACCGCCUGCUGCGUGGUCCUGAUGCUCAUGUUUUCCUACAGAAGGGAGAUGGACCAAAUGUGGCAUGGCUGGUUCACUUAGGUGGCCUGCUAUGCAGUGGUCAUCACCCUGGAGGCUGUGGCGAACCUGGCUGGCACAGCGCUGACCAUCACCAUUCAGAGGGACUGGAUUGUGAGCAUCACGGGGGACAACAGAGGCCAGCUGGCUGGCUGGUGUGGAGCUGUCCCAGAGCUGCAGAAGCAAUGUGGAGGCUCCCCAAGACCAUGAGUCCCGUGCAGUUUAGAUCAACUCCACCAGGGGGCCGUCUACUUAUGCUUGCACAAUCCCAGACUCUGAUAAUUCACCAUUUUGUAACAAAAAAUUGGAAUCAGAAAUUUUCAGUUUAUAAGCACAAGGUAGAUGUUGGAAAGGUGAACUUUAUGAGUCUAUAAAAUAAAAAUAAGCCUUUCAAACACAGGUGUGGCUGUUUAUCUGUUCAAAAUGUGAGCAUGGCUUUCAACCAAGCUGGCCCCAGCUUCACAGGGGUCAUGUAAUCAGCUUUCUAGGUCCUUAUUUAGUUAUCCAAAGCUCUUGGGUUCUACUUCUUUCUUCAAAGUACUUGAGAUCAUGAGGGAAAAAAAAAUUUCACCUGGCUUCAGGGAGCCUCAAAUUCAAAUGACCACUCCUGUCCUCCAUUUUGAAGUGACAUUCAAUUGCCAAAUCACUCAUUUGCCAGCUGUCUCUUGGCUGUUAGAAAGGUCUGGGCCAAACUGGCCAGAGCAACAACAUGCAAUCUAAUGGCUUGUUUUUAUAUUCCUGCUCUCUUCUUGGUUUUAUUCUAAUU